GCGGGUAAAUACAGUACUCUUGUGACACCAAGCUCACUUGUUUUAAUGCAGGUGUGGCUGGGCCUGCAGAAAAGCUGUAAGCAGACUGCAGUGUUGCUGAUCAGUGCUGAUCUCCAUGUCCGAGUUGGUCCCACAAUAUCCAGGCACCACGGUGCUUUCACAAGGUUCACAAUCGAAAUGGGUUAUUUAUUUGUGCUAGUAAGUGGAUGUGGGUAAACCAAGCCAAAACGGACAGCACGUUUGCCAGGGAGAUUGCCCGAUGCUUGUGGCAGGCACAGGAAUUAAUCCACAGGAGUGUUACGAGCAAAAGUAUGUAUGCGAAAGCUAAAGGAAGGUGGUGAGGCCAAGCCAGCGUUGACACCACAAAAUCUUGGUGCAUAUCUAAAGGCAUACGAGCACUUUGUUUCAAAAACGCCAAGCACCGUGGAUACAGAGGCAAGGAGGCUGAAGGACCUGAACAAGCACCUGGCCACCAUGCUUCGGGAUGCAAAAUAAAGAUGGUUUGUGUUAA
rnacentral:lncRNA from 1 species